GGGGAGGAGCACCCGGGAAGCCCAAUCAAGAUCAGGUCCCCAUCAUGCUUGGCACCGUACCAAGACAUAGUCCCUACUCCAAACAGCAGACACUAAACACUUGUGCCGUUGAAUGGUGUCAGAAAACAAAUUUCAAAGCCAUAUGUGUGAGAAUUCCUGGAAACAUAAGAUUAGGAUGGAAGACAGCAAGCUAUGAUGGAAAGGAAGUCAAGAUUUGAUUAAUGAAAUUGAAAGAUGAUAUUAAAGAAAGCAACAACUUUGAAGAGAUGCCAGACAUCAGCCAAGGUGGAAAAAAAGUAAAUGGAAUUACUGUCAUUGAAAACAAC